CGCUACGGCCGUGACGCGUUGGUACACCCGAUCCCUCGAUCUCGGAAGUUAAACAACGUGCAGUCCGGACAGUACUUGGAUAGGAGACCAUCAAGGAAUACUGGAUGUUGUAGCCG
rnacentral:rRNA from 1 species